rnacentral:rRNA from 1 species
UACAGAGGUCCCAAGCGUUGUUCGGAUUCAUUGGGCGUAAAGCGUGCGCAGGUGGUCAUGUAAGACAGAUGUGAAAUCCCCGGGCUUAACCUGGGAAUUGCAUUUGUGACUGCAUGGCUAGAGUGUGGCAGAGGGGGAUGGAAUUCCGCGUGUAGCAGUGAAAUGCGUAGAUAUGCGGAGGAACACCGAUGGCGAAGGCAGUCCCCUGGGCCUGCACUGACACUCAAGCACGAAAGCGUGGGGAGCAAACAGG